GACAGCAGCAUUUGAAUUAAGAUAGUUUUUAUUAUACAGAUUGUUUAUUGUGAAAUAACAUAUCUAGAUACAUUAUUCAAGAUGCAUUGGAAUAAAUUUAUAGAUGAUAUUAUCUAUAAUUUGAGAAAUAUAUUGGAGCUUCCCAAUCUGUAUGUUCUGGAAUCAUAGUUGAAAAAUUAUAUUCUAUUUGAAUUGAAAAAAUUAUUCA
rnacentral:lncRNA from 1 species